AACGUAGGACACGAGCGUUAUCCGGAGUUACUGGGCGUAAAGGGCGUUCAGGUGGGUGAUUAAGUUCGCUAUGAAAGCGCCGGGCUAAACCCGGCGAGGCUGGCGGAUACUGGUCAUCUGGAGUGAGGUAGAGGGAAGUAGAAUUCCGCGUGUAGUGGUGAAAUGCGUAGAGAUGCGGAGGAAUACCAGUGGCGAAGGCGACUUCCUGGACCUUAACUGACACUGAAGCGCGAAAGCAUGGGGAGCGAACGGG
rnacentral:rRNA from 1 species